rnacentral:antisense_RNA from 1 species
AGAAGUAUGACAUUGCUCACAUUGCUUCCAAUGUUUGCCAGCUUGGUUUACCUAGGCUGGCUUUUUUAU